AAAGGAACGCAGCCAAAAGAACGCCGAUAACCGUAAGAAACAGAAGACAAAACAUAAAAUUGGAUCAAAAUCUUACUCGCAAGUAAGCUUUGAGAAGAGAAACUUGGAACUCACCCACACGAACGACGGAACAUGGUCUAACACAGAGUCCUAGAAAGUUUGCAACAAAGCACGUCAAGAGGUUCAAAACAAAGAAACUGAAACUGAAGGUCCACUUUCAAGUGAGUAGAAAAACAAUAUUUUCCAGACCGCAUACAAAGAGACUCUGAAAUGCAAGUCAUCGCAGCCUUGUGGGUACGGAUACAUGGCCAAACCUUCAACUGGUUCUCAAAGGUUUCGUAUCCAGGU